rnacentral:rRNA from 1 species
CCUACGGGUGGCAGCAGUCGAGAAUCAUUCACAAUGGGGGAAACCCUGAUGGUGCGACGCCGCGUGGGGGAAUGAAGGUCUUCGGAUGGUAAACCCCUGUCAUGUGGGAGCAAAUGAAAAAGAGAGUACCACAAGAGGAAGAGACGGCUAACUCUGUGACAGCAGCCGCGGUAAUACAGAGGUCUCAAGCGUUGUUCGGAAUCACUGGGCGUAAAGCGGGCGGAGGCGGUUGCGUAAGGCGUGUGUGAAAGGCGCCGGCUGAACCCACGGACGGCACAUGAUACUGCGAGACUAGAGUAAUGGAGGGGGAACCGGAAUUCUCGGUGUAGCAGUGAAAUGCGUAGAUAUCGAGAGGAACACUCGUGGCGAAGGCGGGUUCCUGGACAUUAACUGACGCUGAGGCACGAAGGCCAGGGGAGCGAAAGGGAUUAGAUACCCUUGUAGUC